GCCCGAACUUAUCUGAACCUUUCCAUUUCUCCUUUUUAAUUAUCUAAAUGUUUUUAUUGCUUCUCUCUCAAUUCUUUGCUGAAUUCAGAGUGCAAAAUCAAAUCUUUUUCCCAUUACAUGCGUGAAAAGAAUUAUAGAUGUAGUUCAUGAUUUGAGGAUUUUUUUUAUAAUUAGUGAUUUUAUCUUUUGUUUGGGUUAGAUUAGUAGUGCAGAUUGCAUUGCAUAACCAAUACUCUGUUGCAUCGCCAAUUGAUUUCUUAUCACACAAAAAACCCUAAUGGAAGCUGCAAGGGCUGAAACACAACCAGAGCUGCUGCAAUUUGGGGAUUUUAUUUAAAAAUAUGGAAAAUAAAUUUCCAUGUUGUAACCUACAACCGAAUUAUCCUUCUUUUUUGCAUAAAGAGGCAGCCCAGUACACAAUGCUUUCACCUAGUGGGGUCUGAUAAUGUGUUCCGUAGUUUUGCACCUCACCAAUGGAAGAGACUGUUUCUAUGAUUUGAACCUGUGACCAGGUCACAAGGAUAAGGCGCAAGAGAAGUUCAUGAGGAUAAAGCAUGCAUACAAUACAUUGCUAAAUUCUAGUUCCCGUAGAAAAUAUGAUUCUAGAGAUCCUGGGUCUGAUUUUUCAUAUUACUCUUCCCAAAGACAAGGUGCAAAUCCUAAAAUUGAAGAAGAAUUUUAUGGAUUAGGUAAUGAUUUAUAAUCAUCUGCAAUCUUGUUUGAUUAUCUGUCUCCAAACAUUACCUUUGAAUACAUUCUUUAAUUUUGUUACGCAACGAAGUAGCCAUAGUGCCCUUGGAACUUCGUCCUAGAUAUCUGCCUAAUGUGCACUUGAGUUUAAUGUUAUCAGAAGAAGCUUUUAUCAGCAGAUCAUAUGUGCAUUUUGCGGGGUUAAAAAUUUUCAGGAUGCAUGUCGAAUAUUGUUUGGCCAUGUUUUAAUCUGAUGCAUUAGCUUUACUUUAACCAAGAUACUACUGAGUGUUUCACUAUCUUUCUCUUAUUAUAAAAGAUGAAAGCUACUUGAUUUGAUUUUACACACAUGGCCCUCGAUUAUGUUUUCCUCUUGUCCUUGCCCAUUCUGCUAAUUAUACUAAUUCUUUCCCUUUAGCUAUUUGCGAGAGAAUUUUCAAAUUCUUUAUAUCCUGUCAUUUUAGGAAGAUAACUUUUUUUUCCGUAAAAAACAUCUCAUGAUCAACAUCUUAAUGAUGCAGGUAAUUUUUUCAGGGAUGUUCAAAUAACAUUAGGUAGUUAAAUACUCUCUGGUAAACAUCGUGUGAUCAUGUCAGCGAGAAGUUUAACCUGCAUUCCUUACAAAUUUUGAUGGGCAUCUAUUGUGACCCAUAUAAAUCUGUCAACAUCGGAAAAUGAUGUCUGUAGAAUGUUGCAAAAAUUCUUUUGUAGUUCCUUUCUUGUAGUGUUUGAUGUCUGAUUGUUUUGUUAUUAAAGGGGACUUCUUUAAAGAUCUUCAAGAUGAAUUCAGAAACUGGGAAGCCAAUGCUGCUUCACAAGGAAAACCGAAGAGCCUAUGGGAGGAAUUGGCGGAAGUAGGAGAAGAAUUUGUGGAGUUCCUUGAGAAAGAACUGAACAUUGUUGAUCCAGAAGUCAAUGCAGAGAACGAUGAUAAAACACGUCAGGGGCCUGGAAAAGGGAUGCCCAGCAACAGUACUAAAGAUGAAGCCGACUCGGGAAACAAAAGCAUAGACGAUAACAUUGACGAAAUAGAAGCCACUUUGGCUCAGUUAAAGAAGGAAUUAGGCUUAUAGUACAAACAGUUUGGACAAUGUUACUCCAAAGUGAUCAAUAUCCUUCCCUGUUAUUUAAGAUCAUUUUAGAGAAAAUUAAAGGUAGAUACAACUUUACCAUAUACUCAAUUUAGAGGUAAACUCACUCUAGAGGAGCAUUCUCCAUAAGGUUUGUAAGUUCCCAAUCGAUUGAAGGCAAAAGCUAUAAUUUAUUGCCCAUUUGGGUGUGAAUAAUGUAUCAAUUCUUUAUCUUAUUCAUAACAGAUAGCACAAGACAUGGGCUACUAUGAAAUUCUCCAUAAUGUUUUUCUUUUUUGCAUAGUUCCACCAUGGAGCAAAUAUUGAUUA
rnacentral:lncRNA from 1 species